rnacentral:rRNA from 1 species
GUAAGGCAAUAAGUGCAUUCGGUGGAUGCCUUGGAGUUAGAUAGGGACGAAGGACGUGGCCAACUGCGAUAUGCCUCGGGGAGCUGUAAGCAAGCGUAGAUCCGGGGAUUUCCGAAUGGGGAAACCCAUCCCAAGUUAUGUUGGGAUAUCAUUCUUCUGAAUAAAAUAGGAAGUCUGAGCCAAACGCAGGGAACUGAAACAUCUUAGUACCUGCAGGAAAAGAAAGCAACCGCGAUUCCCUUAGUAGCGGCGAGCGAAAGGGGAACAGCCUAAACCUCGAUUUUUCGAGGGGUCGUGGGAUCCAAGCCGCGUUUCGCUGGAGUCAUAGUCAAACUACUCUGGAAAGGUAGGCCAUAGAGGGUGAUAGCCCCGUAGGCGAAAUGAUGAAAGUGCAACAAUUGGACACCCGAGUAAGACGGGACACUAGGAAUCUUGUCUGAAUUUGCGAGGACCAUCUCGUAAGGCUAAAUAUAAUCUAACUACCGAUAGUGAACCAGUACCGUGAGGGAAAGGUGAAAAGCACCCCGUGAGGGGAGUGAAAUAGUACCUGAAACCGAUUGCAUAUGAUCAGUCGAAGUCUUCUUUUUGUGCUUGCACAAGAGGGGGAUGACGGCGUGCCUUUUGUAUAAUGAGCCGGCGAGUUACUUUUUGCAGCAAGGUUAAGGGCUAUAGGUCCGGAGCCAAAGCGAAAGCGAGUCUGAAUAGGGCGUUAAGUUGUUAGGAGUAGACCCGAAACUGAGUGAUCUACCCAUGUCCAGGUUGAAGAUCCGGUAACACGGAUUGAAGGACCGAACCUACUGAAGUUAAAAAUUCAGAGGAUGAGGUGUGGGUAGGGGUGAAAGGCCAAACAAACUCAGAGAUAUCUGGUUCUCUUCGAAAUCUGUUUAGGCAGGGCCUCAUGUUAGAUUAACGGAGGUAAAGCACUGAUUGGGCUAGGGGCCCCACAAGGUUACCAACCCCAUUCAAACUAAGAAUGCCGUUAAUUGAUGCAUGGGAGUCAGUCUGCGGGGGAUAAGCUCCGUAGGCGAAAGGGAAACACCCCAGACCAUCAGCUAAGGUCCCUAAAUAUACACUAAGUGAAGAAGGAUGUUAAAUUGCAAAAACAGCCAGGAUGUUGGCUUAGAAGCAGCCAUUCAUUUAAAGAGUGCGUAAUAGCUCACUGGUCGAGUGGUUUUGCACCGAAGAUGAUCGGGACUAAGUGUAUUACCGAAGCUAUGGAUUUUCAGAGUAAUCUGAAAGUGGUAGAAGAGCAUUCUGUAAGGCUGCGAAGGUGUACCGGAAGGUAUGCUGGAGCUAUCAGAAGAGAUUAUGCCGGCAUGAGUAGUGAGAAUCUCGGUGAGAAACCGAGACACCGUAAGUCUAAGGUUUCCUGAGUAAAGUUAAUCUGCUCAGGGUUAGUCGGACCCUAAGGCGAGGCCGAAAGGCGUAGUCGAUGGGAAAGCAGUCAAAAUUCUGCUACCCGAUAUAGGUAGUGAUGGGAUGACGCAGUUAUGCGAGGAAGACUGGUAUUGGACGCCCAGUUUUAAGCUGGUAGGUUGGAUGAGCAGGAAAAUCCACUCAUCUAUAACCGAGAAGCGAAUACGAGCCACAUAAGUGGCAGAAGUUCCUCUAUAAAGCUGCCAAGAAAUAAUCUCUAAACGUUUAAAUCUAUAUCGGCCCGUACCGCAAACCGACUCAGGUAGACGAGGAGAGUAUCCUCAGGUGCUCGAGAUAACUCUGGUUAAGGAACUAGGCAAAAUUACCCCGUAACUUCGGAAGAAGGGGUGCCAUUGAAGGUGAAAGGACUCGCUCUUCGAGCUUUCGAUGGUCGCAGUGAAGAGGCCCAAGCGACUGUUUAUCAAAAACACAGGUCUAUGCAAAGUAGUAAUACCAUGUAUAUGGACUGACACCUGCCCGGUGCCGGAAGGUUAAAUGGAUGGCUUAGCUCGUUUCUUUUAGAAAUGGGCAAAGGUCAGAAAUGAAGCCCCGGUAAACGGCGGCCGUAACUAUAACGGUCCUAAGGUAGCGAAAUUCCUUGUCGGGUAAGUUCCGACCUGCACGAAUGGUGUAACGACUUGGGCGCUGUCUCAACCAGGGACUCGGUGAAAUUGCAGUGGCGGUGAAGAUGCCGCCUACCCGCGAAAGGACGGAAAGA